GGGGAGGGCGGCUGCCUAUACAUGCAAGUCGAGCGGACCGACGGGAGCUUGCUCCCUUAGGUCAGCGGCGGACGGGUGAGUAACACGUGGGUAACCUGCCUGUAAGACUGGGAUAACUCCGGGAAACCGGGGCUAAUACCGGAUGCUUGAUUGAACCGCAUGGUUCAAUCAUAAAAGGUGGCUUUUAGCUACCACUUACAGAUGGACCCGCGGCGCAUUAGCUAGUUGGUGAGGUAACGGCUCACCAAGGCGACGAUGCGUAGCCGACCUGAGAGGGUGAUCGGCCACACUGGGACUGAGACACGGCCCAGACUCCUACGGGAGGCAGCAGUAGGGAAUCUUCCGCAAUGGACGAAAGUCUGACGGAGCAACGCCGCGUGAGUGAUGAAGGUUUUCGGAUCGUAAAACUCUGUUGUUAGGGAAGAACAAGUACCGUUCGAAUAGGGCGGCACCUUGACGGUACCUAACCAGAAAGCCACGGCUAACUACGUGCCAGCAGCCGCGGUAAUACGUAGGUGGCAAGCGUUGUCCGGAAUUAUUGGGCGUAAAGCGCGCGCAGGCGGUUUCUUAAGUCUGAUGUGAAAGCCCCCGGCUCAACCGGGGAGGGUCAUUGGAAACUGGGGAACUUGAGUGCAGAAGAGGAGAGUGGAAUUCCACGUGUAGCGGUGAAAUGCGUAGAGAUGUGGAGGAACACCAGUGGCGAAGGCGACUCUCUGGUCUGUAACUGACGCUGAGGCGCGAAAGCGUGGGGAGCGAACAGGAUUAGAUACCCUGGUAGUCCACGCCGUAAACGAUGAGUGCUAAGUGUUAGAGGGUUUCCGCCCUUUAGUGCUGCAGCAAACGCAUUAAGCACUCCGCCUGGGGAGUACGGUCGCAAGACUGAAACUCAAAGGAAUUGACGGGGGCCCGCACAACCGGUGGA
rnacentral:rRNA from 1 species